GUUUCCGUGGUGUAGCGGUUACCACGUCUGCUUUACACGCAGAAGGUUCCCGGUUCGAUCCCGGGCGGGAUCA
rnacentral:tRNA from 1 species